AUACAAUGUGUGUUAAUCACAAAUGUGAUUUCAGAAUCCACACAAUGAAAAAACUCAUUACAAAUAAAAUAGAGCUACUUUAUAUUUAUAGAUUAGAUUGCUUAAACUCCAAGUAAUCACAAAAAUAACUAACUCAACUAAAACUAAGUUAACCAUAUCAUCUAUGUUGACUCCUUCGACAACUACACACUUUGAUUGCAUGCUUCGAUAGACUACAAUUGACUUUCUGUCAAAUAUAGCAAAUACUGACUUUGCUCAACACAAC
rnacentral:lncRNA from 1 species